rnacentral:lncRNA from 1 species
UACAGAGAAACCCUGUCUCGAAAACAAAAAACAACAACAAAACAACAACAAAAAGCUUUUGUGUCCUAGAAAAGGGGGGACAUCUUUUUAAGUCAUUUUGUGAAGCCAGCAAAACUUUAAUCUCCACUUCAAGCAUCUGCACAGUGGAGAAAAUAAUAGGUUGGCAGGGCAGCAUCAGGGGCCUUGAGUGCAUGUGCACAGCAUGUAACAUGCCUGCUAUGUAUUCCACAUGCACUAGUUGUUUUACGCGGUCACACCAGGAUCCAGGUUGAAAUCUCUGUCUCACUGAACCAGACAUCUAGAAUGGCAUCCCUAGGACAAAGAAGGGGAAGGAAAAGGUGAACUAUGAUACUUGAAUAGAGACCCUAAAACCCAGGGGCAACCUGGCAAACUGGAUCCCACUAGACUCUCAUUCAGGCCCUUCAAGCUAGCUGCACCCAUGACAUUUUGCACACCAAGCUCUGAGAACCUGUAACUGACUGUAUUAAGACACAGCCAGGGCCAUUUGAAGACAAAACUCAAGGUUCUCUGCAUUUGCUCCUCAGGCAGGUACCCGAACCAACCAUACCACAGCCGUAGAGUGCUUGGCCUUAUAGCCCAGGCUGUCUUUAGAUGUAAGAGUCCCCGUCUUUAAGACAGGUAGUGAAGCUGCUCUGUGGAUCACUGAAGGUCACAGGAAGAACUUGGAGUGACCUGGCCCAUAACAGUCACAUCUGUCUGAGGAACUGUCUCCUCUGAAGAUCACUGCCUUCCACACCUGGCAUUCACAGAGACUGGAAUCCAUCUCCUGUGUGUGGUACUUUCUCUGUAUAAGUGGAACACACAUACAGCCUUCUGUAAUAGCUACUUGGCCAAUUCCAAAACAUGUUUAUGUCAAAAUAUUCAUGACUGACAGAUUCCCCCAACCCACCCCACUUUCCUCUCUGAACUAGAGAAACAGCCUAUUCAAAUCCUAUAUCCUGACUCACAGCACUCCGGCAUCAUCUUGGAAUAGUUCUGAAUACCUGUACUCCUCCUGCAGAUAUGAUCCUACAACCCACUUUCAGUUCACAGUCGCAUACAUACUACUUCUCUCUAUAUGUGUAAUCGUGUAACUCAUGGAGAAGCCAGAGGUCAAUGCCAAGUACCUUCCUCAGUCACUCUUCACCUUGUUUAUUGAGACAGAGUCUCUCACUGAACCUGAAGCUUACUGAUUAGGCUGGACUUGCUGGGCAGAAACCCCUAGGGUUCAUCUGUCUUUGCCUUGCCAGUAUUGGGAUUACAGAGAUUGAGAAGUCCUGGCUCAACGUGAGACUCCUUUAUGAGCUGACGAAGAGAUACUCAGUGUACCAGAUCAGUAGGCACAUAGGGAAUCUGGGUACUGGGAUCUAAGUAGUCUGGAGACUGGGUGGUCCUCACAUCUCUUUCUCCCCUGUUGAGGCUGAAGAGUUGAAGGGUAAGGGCCAGCCCAGUUGUGGCUGCUGGCUUUGGGGCUCUUCAGCCACUGGGGAAGCUCCAGGGAAAAGGAUGGUGUCCUUAAGAAACAGCAGCUUAGGUCUGGCCCGUUUUCCCUAAAGCAGGGAAAGCAAGUUGGUCCCAACAACUCACGGGACCAACAACUGCACCUUCCUGUCUGUUAGAAGCUGCUUCUUCCUGCUUUGAACAUGGAGAAACUGAGGACAGAGAAAGCCUUGGCAUACCAUCUAGUCCAGCUCCCUUUUUGGCUCUGAAGGGAAGAAAGCAGGGGAUAUAUAAAGACAUUCCUGGCAUCUUUUUAGCACAAUAAUGUUCAUGUUUUUGGAAGCAAAAGUUGUCUUGAUUUUUACCCAGACCAACCAGGUAGGUACCCUCUAUCUCAUCAUCCCCAUUAAAAGUCAGCAAACUUAGGCAGCUUCCUCAAGAGCUGCCCCUAACUCGAGGCAGAAUUAGAACUUCAGGUAUCUCUUACCCACUCAUAUCCAUAAUCAACACGUACCUCCUAACAGAGUGGACUCUGGUAAGAACCCAUGUUUUCCAGUCAUACGCCAUUCACUUCAGGCCCUUAGGAAGUCACUCUGUUAUGCUCACUGCUCUAUUCUGUCUUGACCUCCAGGACUCCUGAGCAUCAUUCAAGGAAUUCUCUGGUCUCUAAACCCAAGUCUAAAGGCAGCUGAUUUAUCUGAUUUAUCCCUGGGAGCCACACCCAGCACAGGGCCAAGCACAAACACAAGUAAGUGUGAAUGAGAACACUUGUGGAAGGAAUAGAGGAAUGAAAGGAUGAAAGGAGGAAUGGAAUGAUGGAAGAGAGGAAGGAUUAGAAGCCCAUACUCUCUUCUAUAGCUUCUCUCAACAGAAAAACAAGGCCCCAAGUGUCUAUCCCACAUUGAUUAACCUCAGUCCCUACCACCACUGCUACACCUGAUCCCCAGCCCCCUGCCACACUGUUCACAGCAUUUGUGACUUGCCCUGCCACCCUCAAUACUACUAGGACACAGAGCACUCACCUUAGGCAAGUGACCAGGCCUUGACCAUAGACUGGCAGAGGAAGGAUUUGGAGGCCUGGUCUGGGCCUUCAAAGACCUAGAGCAAAUGUCCACCUUCUUCAUCCCCAUCAUCCCUUGCUUACUGGGAACUGGUGAGGUUCAUGCUACUUCCCUGAGGUGGGGAGGGGGCUGGGGGGACUCCCAGUGUUUGUCAGCAGAGUAUGGUAUUGGGGAGGACUGUGUUUCCAUGGUUACUAGCCAUGGGAGCUGCAGGGAGAUGGGGCCAUGGUGUACAUAGACACAGAUCCACACGGACCUGCAAGAAAAAUAGCAACAGAUUUGCUGAGUCAUUGGCCCCACAUAUUUAUAGUCUCUGGCGAAGGCAGACCUGCCUAUCAGAGGCUAAUAAUACUGCAGCAGUGUGUUAAUUGCAAAGACGGAGUCUUCAAGCAUCCAUUCAGACACCCGAGACUGCUUCUUGAAUAAAGAGUGAGGCCUCACAAUGAGCCAGGCUUCCUGUUUGGUAGCAUGUAUAGUUAGGAGUGUGUGUGUGUGUGUGUGUGUGUGUGUGUGUGUGUGUGUGUGUGCAGGUAUAUGAAACCUGGUUCUUGCUUGGCACAAAAGCUACUGUUAUAUCAAGCAGACUGAAACCAGCCCACGGCAUGGUGUGACAGCACACUCUUCAACCCCCUCCUAUGGGUGUCUAGGAUUCACCCACUCUACAGAUGGCCAGGGCAAGGAGGGGUCCAAAACAAAGGAUAUGAGGAUGCUUGGCUAUAUCCCAGGGAUGAGAGGACAUGAGGCAUGAGGCAGGAUGCUAACAGCAACUCUCCCUGGGGACAGCUAUUAUCCUCUAGCUCUGUACAGCCAGGUAAGUCAGAAGAGAGAGAGUAGAAGACUUUUAUCUCCCUGUAGGUCAACCAAUAGGCCACCUGGCAUAGCAAAGAUCAAACUGGAGCUGGAAUAUGAAAAACUGAGCCAAGCUCAGUCAGUACUGAGAGCUGGUAUGCCACCUUAAAUAAAUAUGUAAGGGCCAAGUUCAUCCCUGUAGAGGGAUCUCUGCUUCACCCUCGAGAUGUCCAUCCAGACACAGUGUCUGCCCCAACACUGCCUUAUGGUGGCAGCAACUGUGCUUUGAAACUUGGGAGAUCUACAUGUUCCCAACACCUGGGCAAUAAGGCCCUGAGUGGAGCUAUAGGUGAAA